rnacentral:lncRNA from 1 species
GUAGACUGAUUUCUCCCUUCACCUCCACUAGUGCCAGGUGGAGGUGGCUGAACUUGUUGAAGGGGAGGAGGUGGAGGAGGAAUAGGACGAUUUGCAACUUGAUCUUUAGGUGGGGGACCAGGAGGUGGAGGUGGCAAAGGGGGUGGUGGUAAUGAUGUAGAUACGGCACUAGCAGGCUUUGGAGGCAUGGGAGGGGGAGGAGGCAAUGGUAAAGAUGCAGGUAAAACAGUGCCAUCUGCUGAACUUGAAUUGCUACCAUCAGGCAGUGGGGGCGGUGGAGGAGGUGGAGGUACAGCUAAUACAUCAUCCUCUGUCUCCAUUGCCGAGGAUGAAGCCGCAGCACUGGAUGAAGCACCAGAUAAAGGAAUUCUUG